rnacentral:tRNA from 1 species
GACCCGCUAGCUCAUCUGGUAGAGCACCUGCCUUUUAAGCAGGUGGUGCCGCGUUCGAGUCGCGGGCGGGUCA